AGAGGGAACCCGGUGAGAGCCCGGGACUGUCCCGCAGCGGUAUGCAGGAACGACCGCCGUCAACCAAGCACUGGUCGCAAGACCGGGAAGCGACGGCCAGUAGGAACACCGACAGGUGUGCGCCUGCGAGUCCGAAGACCU
rnacentral:misc_RNA from 1 species